rnacentral:rRNA from 1 species
UACGUAGGGUGCAAGCGUUGUCCGGAAUUAUUGGGCGUAAAGAGCUCGUAGGCGGUUUGUCGCGUCUGCUGUGAAAACGCGAGGCUCAACCUCGCGCCUGCAGUGGGUACGGGCAGACUAGAGUGCGGUAGGGGAGAAUGGAACUCCUGGUGUAGCGGUGGAAUGCGCAGAUAUCAGGAAGAACACCGAUGGCGAAGGCAGUUCUCUGGGCCGUAACUGACGCUGAGGAGCGAAAGCGUGGGGAGCAAACGGG